rnacentral:pre_miRNA from 1 species
CUAAGUAGUGGUGCCGCAGGUAAUAAUGGUAAUGUUUACUUGCACACAACUGCUUAAUA